GAUUCCCCCAGUAGCGGCGAGCGAACGGGGAGCAGCCCAGAGCCUGAAUCAGUGUGUGUGUUAGUGGAAGCGUCUGGAAAGGCGUGCGAUACAGGGUGACAGCCCCGUACACAAAAAUGCACAUACUGUGAGCUCGAUGAGUAGGGCGGGACACGUGGUAUCCUGUCUGAAUAUGGGGGGACCAUCCUCCAAGGCUAAAUACUCCUGACUGACCGAUAGUGAACCAGUACCGUGAGGGAAAGGCGAAAAGAACCCCGGCGAGGGGAGUGAAAAAGAACCUGAAACCGUGUACGUACAAGCAGUGGGAGCACGCUUAGGCGUGUGACUGCGUACCUUUUGUAUAAUGGGUCAGCGACUUAUAUUCUGUAGCAAGGUUAACCGAAUAGGGGAGCCGAAGGGAAACCGAGUCUUAACUGGGCGUUAAGUUGCAGGGUAUAGACCCGAAACCCGGUGAUCUAGCCAUGGGCAGGUUGAAGGUUGGGUAACACUAACUGGAGGACCGAACCGACUAAUGUUGAAAAAUUAGCGGAUGACUUGUGGCUGGGGGUGAAAGGCCAAUCAAACCGGGAGAUAGCUGGUUCUCCCCGAAAGCUAUUUAGGUAGCGCCUCGUGAAUUCAUCUCCGGGGGUAGAGCACUGUUUCGGCAAGGGGGUCAUCCCGACUUACCAACCCGAUGCAAACUGCGAAUACCGGAGAAUGUUAUUACGGGAGACACACGGCGGGUGCUAACGUCCGUCGUGAAGAGGGAAACAACCCAGACCGCCAGCUAAGGUCCCAAAGUCAUGGUUAAGUGGGAAACGAUGUGGGAAGGCCCAGACAGCCAGGAUGUUGGCUUAGAAGCAGCCAUCAUUUAAAGAAAGCGUAAUAGCUCACUGGUCGAGUCGGCCUGCGCGGAAGAUGUAACGGGGCUAAACCAUGCACCGAAGCUGCGGCAGCGACGCUUAUGCGUUGUUGGGUAGGGGAGCGUUCUGUAAGCCUGUGAAGGUGUGCUGUGAGGUAUGCUGGAGGUAUCAGAAGUGCGAAUGCUGACAUAAGUAACGAUAAAGCGGGUGAAAAGCCCGCUCGCCGGAAGACCAAGGGUUCCUGUCCAACGUUAAUCGGGGCAGGGUGAGUCGACCCCUAAGGCGAGGCCGAAAGGCGUAGUCGAUGGGAAACAGGUUAAUAUUCCUGUACUUGGUGUUACUGCGAAGGGGGGACGGAGAAGGCUAUGUUGGCCGGGCGACGGUUGUCCCGGUUUAAGCGUGUAGGCUGGUUUUCCAGGCAAAUCCGGAAAAUCAAGGCCGAGGCGUGAUGACGAGGCACUACGGUGCUGAAGCAACAAAUGCCCUGCUUCCAGGAAAAGCCUCUAAGCAUCAGGUAACAUCAAAUCGUACCCCAAACCGACACAGGUGGUCAGGUAGAGAAUACCAAGGCGCUUGAGAGAACUCGGGUGAAGGAACUAGGCAAAAUGGUGCCGUAACUUCGGGAGAAGGCACGCUGAUACGUAGGUGAAGCGACUUGCUCGUGGAGCUGAAAUCAGUCGAAGAUACCAGCUGGCUGCAACUGUUUAUUAAAAACACAGCACUGUGCAAACACGAAAGUGGACGUAUACGGUGUGACGCCUGCCCGGUGCCGGAAGGUUAAUUGAUGGGGUUAGCGCAAGCGAAGCUCUUGAUCGAAGCCCCGGUAAACGGCGGCCGUAACUAUAACGGUCCUAAGGUAGCGAAAUUCCUUGUCGGGUAAGUUCCGACCUGCACGAAUGGCGUAAUGAUGGCCAGGCUGUCUCCACCCGAGACUCAGUGAAAUUGAACUCGCUGUGAAGAUGCAGUGUACCCGCGGCAAGACGGAAAGACCCCGUGAACCUUUACUAUAGCUUGACACUGAACAUUGAGCCUUGAUGUGUAGGAUAGGUGGGAGGCUUUGAAGUGUGGACGCCAGUCUGCAUGGAGCCGACCUUGAAAUACCACCCUUUAAUGUUUGAUGUUCUAACGUGGACCCGUGAUCCGGGUUGCGGACAGUGUCUGGUGGGUAGUUUGACUGGGGCGGUCUCCUCCUAAAGAGUAACGGAGGAGCACGAAGGUUGGCUAAUCCUGGUCGGACAUCAGGAGGUUAGUGCAAUGGCAUAAGCCAGCUUGACUGCGAGCGUGACGGCGCGAGCAGGUGCGAAAGCAGGUCAUAGUGAUCCGGUGGUUCUGAAUGGAAGGGCCAUCGCUCAACGGAUAAAAGGUACUCCGGGGAUAACAGGCUGAUACCGCCCAAGAGUUCAUAUCGACGGCGGUGUUUGGCACCUCGAUGUCGGCUCAUCACAUCCUGGGGCUGAAGUAGGUCCCAAGGGUAUGGCUGUUCGCCAUUUAAAGUGGUACGCGAGCUGGGUUUAGAACGUCGUGAGACAGUUCGGUCCCUAUCUGCCGUGGGCGCUGGAGAACUGAGGGGGGCUGCUCCUAGUACGAGAGGACCGGAGUGGACGCAUCACUGGUGUUCGGGUUGUCAUGCCAAUGGCACUGCCCGGUAGCUAAAUGCGGAAGAGAUAAGUGCUGAAAGCAUCUAAGCACGAAACUUGCCCCGAGAUGAGUUCUCCCUGACCCUUUAAGGGUCCUGAAGGAACGUUGAAGACGACGACGUUGAUAGGCCGGGUGUGUAAGCGCAGCGAUGCGUUGAGCUAACCGGUACUAAUGAACCGUGAGGCUUAACCUUACAACGCCGAAG
rnacentral:rRNA from 1 species